rnacentral:rRNA from 1 species
CUAAUACAUGCAAGUCGAGGGGCAGCACAGGUAGCAAUACUGGGUGGCGACCGGCAAACGGGUGCGGAACACGUACGCAACCUUCCUUCAAGCGGGGAAUAGCCCAGAGAAAUUUGGAUUAAUACCCCAUAAGAAUGUGACCUGGCAUCAGGUAGCAUUUAAAGAUUUAUCACUUGAAGAUGGGCGUGCGUCUGAUUAGGUAGUUGGUGAGGUAACGGCUCACCAAGCCGACGAUCAGUAACUGGCGUGAGAGCGCGACCAGUCACACGGGCACUGAGACACGGGCCCGACUCCUACGGGAGGCAGCAGUAAGGAAUAUUGGUCAAUGGACGAGAGUCUGAACCAGCCAUGCCGCGUGGAGGAUGAAGGCCCUCUGGGUUGUAAACUUCUUUUAUUUGGGACGAAACACUUCUUUUCUAAGGAGCUUGACGGUACCAGAUGAAUAAGCACCGGCUAACUCCGUGCCAGCAGCCGCGGUAAUACGGAGGGUGCAAGCGUUAUCCGGAUUCACUGGGUUUAAAGGGUGCGUAGGCGGACAUGUAAGUCCGUGGUGAAAUCUCCAAGCUUAACUUGGAAACUGCCAUGGAUACUCUAUGUCUUGAAUGUUGUGGAGGUUAGCGGAAUAUGUCAUGUAGCGGUGAAAUGCAUAGAUAUGACAUAGAACACCAAUUGCGAAGGCAGCUGGCUACACAAAUAUUGACGCUGAGGCACGAAAGCGUGGGGAUCAAACAGGAUUAGAUACCCUGGUAGUCCACGCCCUAAACGAUGAUU